UGUUUUUGUAAACAAUAUCGUCACGUGACCCAUUAGGGGCAAUCCCGCAAGAAUGUUGGAAAAGUUAAAAGAUAUUUUGAAAUUGAUUUAAAUCUUGAAUAAAUAUAGACUUUCUCUCAAUCACGUCAACAUUCUUGGGUUAACUUUAAACAUUGCAUCGCUGAUAUCAUCUGAACUAUAAUUUAAAAAGCACUCUUGGUAUUUUCAAAAAUAAUCCAGUAACCGGUAUAUAAUUAUAGCAUAUUAAUGUAAUUUUGAUGUCCAGGUAUUUUCAAUCAGAAAGCCUUUAAUUUUGAACCCAUUUCAGUGCACUAAGAUGCAGAUUAUUAUUUGUUAUUAUGAGAGUUCUUUCAUUGAUUGGUGCGAAAAAUUAAAUAUUUCUGGUUUUUGAUCGGCUGUUUCAGAUGUUACAUACGCCACUUAAUUGGUUGAAUUUUACAUGCUUUUCAGAAUAUAAGCUUCAGAUUAAAACAGUCUUGAGAAUAAUAAAAAGAGGAGAUCAAGCAUUGAUCUCAAUAUCCACAAUUCUAAAGUUCUCAGCUCUGAAUGAUUAGAUUCAAUCAACUAAUUGUCUUAUCAGGUUCAUCGGUGCCACUGCCAAGCAAAGUAUUUAUGAUACUCAACUACCAAGCCAACUAAGAAUAGGAGAGUCUGCGUUUACAAUGCCAGCAGAUCCAAAAAGAAAAAAGUUUGAACGAAGGCUCUUUAAUUGGAUAAUAGGAAUUCCUUACAGAGAAAUAUCCCGAUUUUGUAAAAACUAUUACAUUGUUAAAUAAAUAUUAUGAAGUUA